CUCCUCCACGCUGGAACGAGGAGGAGGAGAAGAUGGACGGAGAGAGCCUCUCGGUGGGUCUCUUCAGCUGCUCUCAGGAAGGGUGAACGUCUGGAUGUGGCUUUUUGCCGGAAAUUUCGUGCUACGUCUCGCCAGUAACGCUGGAUGACUCAAGUGGACCAUCUGAACAACUCGAAAUGAAACCAACUCCAAAUAUUCAAGAUUAUCGUAAAAUAUCCACGAGAGGACGUACACGGUGAAGGAAACAGAGAGGAAGGUGAAGAGGAGGAAAAGGAGGAAGCGAAGCAUCAGCGGAGAAGCUGCGGAGCAGUCUUCUGGAUUCUCUGGUUUCCAUGGUUGGUCCUGGACGGCGUGGUAACGCCGUAACCGAUAACGGUACCCAGCUUCGACGGCGCUCACCAAUGUAAGAGUACUGUUAUUCCAACGAUGCAGCUGUCCUCUCUGUUCCACUCCUUUUCUCCUUUCGCCAUUCUUCUUCGUCCUUCUCGUUCUUCCCCCUUCUGGUAUUCGCCUGAGCAGUUCUAAACGCGGACCCAAGUCUGCUAAACAUCUCGUAAGAUCCCUCAUCAAUCAGCUGGGGAUUUCAUCAUUCCCUAUGUUCAUUCCUUUCUACCGUCUCUCAUCUGAUCAGACAUUCGUGGCAUUGAACUAUAUUUAGCAUGAAUUUUUAUUUUAAUAUUUUUGUAGAUGUAUAAGGUGUUUCAGUUAUCGUGAACAUUUUGUAUUUUUGUCGUCUGAGGGUUGUUAGGGUUACUUAUCGUUGAAUUCAUUUUCAUACAAUUGCAAAUGGCAGACCGUUGCUUCAUUGUGCGUUUAAGGUGCAUCAAUGUUCGACAUUAAUUUCUUAUUCCACGACAUAGCAAGACGAAAUUUCAUCACUUUCGCGUUUACGAGUGUCGUGAUUAAAGGAUGUAGACGAUCGUCAAUCGUGUCCAGUUAU